GUCCACGCCCUAAACGAUGUCAACUAGGUGUUGGAAGGGUUAAACCUUUUAGUACCGCAGCUAACGCGUGAAGUUGACCGCCUGGGGAGUACGGCCGCAAGGUUAAAACUCAAAGGAAUUGACGGGGACCCGCACAAGCGGUGGAUGAUGUGGAUUAAUUCGAUGCAACGCGAAAAACCUUACCUACCCUUGACAUGCCAGGAACUUUCCAGAGAUGGAUUGGUGCCCGAAAGGGAGCCUGGACACAGGUGCUGCAUGGCUGUCGU
rnacentral:rRNA from 1 species